UACGUAGGGGGCAAGCGUUGUCCGGAUUUAUUGGGCGUAAAGAGCGUGUAGGCGGCCAGGGAGGUCCGUUGUGAAAACUCGAGGCUCAACCUCGAGACGUCGGCGGAAACCCUCUGGCUAGAGUCCGGAAGAGGAGAGUGGAAUUCCUGGUGUAGCGGUGAAAUGCGCAGAUAUCAGGAGGAACACCGGUGGCGAAGGCGGGUCUCUGGGCCGAUACUGACACUGAGGAGCGAAAGCGUGGGGAGCGAACAGG
rnacentral:rRNA from 1 species